rnacentral:rRNA from 1 species
AUGGCAUCUCUAGCCAGAACAGUUCAGUUGGUGCACGGCGACGUCGUGGCUCGACAAGUGUGGGCAACGGCAGUAGGGUCCCCGUUGAAGUGGAGCCUGAUGACUACAAUUCUGGGGUUGAUGAAGAGAAGCUAUAUUCUGAUGUUAUUCAGAAUUUACGACGGGCACCUCGGGCUGAAAACCAAGAUGAGGCUCACAAUGCAGUCCAUGAGGAUGAUGACGCGGUGGGUGAGGACGAAGACCUUGCAGCUGUUGAAUGGGACCCUUUGA